CUUCCACGGCCCUGAGAGAAGGAGGGAGACUGGUGGCCUUUAAAGGAAAAGACUCAGAGAUUUGAACGGUUGCCAGGCGGCCUCCAGGAAGAAGCAGCUGGGAGAAGCAGGACGGCACUGGACGCUUGGCAGAGAAAGACCCUGGGCAAGAGACUGGGGGUAAAGAUUUGGAGAUGAAAUAGCAAAGCGCUGAUCUAACUCAGGGCUGGCCCAAGCUGUUCCCAAGAGGGGCCCCUCAUCUUUACGAGAAUCUCUUGAGUGUCUGACUGUCUCGCUUGAUGCAGACCCAGGGUUGUAGUAGUGGCUACAUUUAUCCCAAAACAAUGAAAAGCCAACCACAAAGUUCCCCCAGCUCCCAGCCAUGCUGACACGGAAGGGAGAGGCUGUGGAAGAUGGCACUGGAUGUCCGAUGGCCCAGCCUGGUGGUGAAGGAUGUCACUUCUGCCUAUAUUCCGUUUCCCGCACUCAAUCAUGUGGUCCACGCCAUGCUGCACAGGCAGUUUGAGGAUGUGGUCUUCCCACCUGGCCAAGAUAAGGGAUGGGAAAAACUCUGGUAACAACAAGGGUCCCUGGAGAAGCCAGUCGGGGUAUCAGUGAUGGAGAUACGAUGACAUAUCUAGAGUGAUCAGGCACGGACAACAUCACCCUCUGGGAAGCUUUGUGACCUCAACAAGCACGAAAAGAUCAGCCAGGCUUUUUAGAAGAAUUCUGAGCUUGAAUCUUCGGUCAACUCUAGAAGCUGCUAAUGGUUACAAGGAAUACAGACAUCCUCUUACUUCAGAUGAUGACAUUAAGAGAAAGAAAGAAAACAGAGGAAUUGGGAAAUACAUCAGUGACUGGACAGCCACUUACCAGUCAAGACACAGCACCAGCACUAACGACCCAAUGAGAACUCUGGGGACCAGGCAUCUUCUUGUCUCGGAAGUGGACAUCUGUCACUCCCUCCUUGUGAUCCCCACACUGGUGACUUUGUUUCUUUCACACAUGAUUUGUCCACCUGCUGCCUCUGAAAGUUAGUGUCACUAUAUAUAGAAUUCUAGGUUGAAUGCUGGUGUUUUUUCGUUCAGCACUUAAAAUGAUCAUUUCAUUGUCUUCUGUCUUGUAUUAUUUCUGAUGAGAAGUCAGUCAUCAUUCUUGACAUUCCAUUUUUUAAAAAUCUCUUUUCAAUCUCUGACUCAGUUGGAUAAUAUCUAUAACUGCUGUUCAAGUUCAUUAAUGUUUUCUUUCUUUCUUUGUUUUUUUUUGGUGAGGAAGAUUGGCCCUGAGCUAAGUUCUGUUGCCAAUCUUCUUUUUUUCCCCUGCCCACAGCCCCAGUACCUAGUUGUCUGUCCUAGCUGUAGGUCCUUCCAGUUCUUCUAUGUGGGACACUGCCUCAGCAUGGCUUGAUGAGCGAUGGUAGGCAAACCCCAGGCUGCUGAAGUGGAGUGUGUGAACCUAACCACUACACCACUGGGCAGGCCCCACUAAUGUUGGCUUUUGAGGAUUCAAACUGCUGUUAAUAUCAUCUAGUGAACUUUUUAUUUCAGGCAUUGCAUUUUAUCAUGCUAGAAUUUCCAUUUUCUCCUUUUUUAGUGUUCACUUUUCUUGCCUGAGAUACCCCUAUCUCUUACAUUCACCUUUCUCUGUAAAUUCUUAAAAAUGUUUAUAAUAAUUGUUUUAAAAUUCUUCUUCAUUCCAAUAACUGGGGUUAACGGCCGGUCUGCCUCUAUUGACCAUGCUUUCUCUUGACUGUUGGUCAGUGUCUCCUGUUUGUUUGCAUGCCUCAUAAAUUUUUACUGUAUCUCAUAAACGUGUAUACAAAGACAGUGAAGACUGAAGUAUAAUAAUCUUCACAUUUUAUUUCUCAGAGAAUGCAGGCCCUUUCUCUCUGUCUGGCAGGCUGAAGGGCCAAUUAUUCACAUUCCUUCUGGAGUCAGAUUGACCCGGAUCUGGGCUGAAGUUUUAAUUAGAUUGAGAUUAUUUAUGCUUAGACGGACCCCCCAACUCGCACACUACUGCUGUCUUUUUGACAUUACCAAUAUUUGAGCUGAUGGUCUUCCAUUUUAAAUAUUUUUCAUUUACUUUGGAUUCAAGUCAGCAGAACCCUGGAAUCCAAGCUCUGUGGGAAUUCGGGGUUCUUGGUGACUUUGCUCUGCAUUUUAGUCCUUUCUUGUCUGAUUCUUUUCGGUCAAAGUUUGAGGGGAGAAGUUGUUGGGACCAUUUGUUUUUGUAAUUGGGACACUUCCACAUUUCGGAUUCACCUCUCUAGCCUCCACCACCAUCAGAGGCUCAGCUGAUUUCUUCUCCUUCCUGCAAAGUCCCUGCCAUACCUAAACCACAAACUCUUCCCUGGGGGUCGGCUGUCCUGACUCUCCGUUUGCCAGCGGAGGGCUCGUUUCUCAGAAACUCAGUUCAGUAAGCCUCCCUUUGUCCCAGAUCUUUCUUAGCCCCUUCGAAAAGUGUGAUUUUUAUAUGUCUGGGUUUUUGUUGGUGUUACCACGUGAACAAAGAUGUUUCAAGUCCUACCUUCUAACCUGAAGUGGAUGUCAGAAUCAAAGAUUUGAAUUUUUAAAAAUAUAACCAUAGGAUCACUAGAAAAAAAUAUGGGAUAAUUUAUUUUACAAUUUGGAAUGGAGAAAGUCCUUUCAAAGCAGGACGCAAACCUCAGAGCCUCAGAAAUCAUAGGGUGAUUUAAGCUCCCUCUUUCUGUCUCUCUCUCUCAUAUGCGUGAUGCGUGAGAUAUAUAGAUGUAUAUAUUCAUAGAUAUAGAUAUGGAUCUAUAUAUCUCUUCAACUUCAGUAUAGUAAAAUAUACCAAAGACAGAUGACAAACUGAGAAAGAAAUAUUUGCAACACAUAAGACAAAGAUUGCUUCAAAAAAACAUGUUGAGAUUUUUUAAUAAAUAAUUUUAGAAGGGAAAUGGAAAAGGCAGAUAGUUCACAUAAAAAUCAUCAUAAAUAGAUUGUCAACAUGGAAAGAUGCUCCCACUCACUGAAAAUUAAGAACUACGACGGGGGCCGGCUCUGUGGUCCAGUGGUUAAGUUCGUGUGCUCCGCUGCGGCGGCCCAGGGUUCAGACCCUGGGCGCGGACAUGGCACCGCUCAUCAGGCCAUGUUGAGGUUGCGUCCCACAUCCCACAACUAGAAGGACCUGCAACUAAGAUAUACAACUGUGUACCCGGGGGGUUUGGGAAAUAAAGCAGAAAAAAAAAAAAAAAAGAUUGGCAACAGUUGUUAGCCCAGGUGCCAAUCUUUAAAAAAAAAAAAAAAACUACGACGUGGACUGGACACUGUUUUCGCCUGUCACCUUGACACAGCUAGGUGCCAGGGUCUGGGAAGCCAGCAGUCGCACACACUGUGGAGGGGGGUGGAAAUUAGCACAGCGUCCUUAGAUGUGUUUGUUUCACGUUCUCUUAAGAGUGUUUUUUGUCAAUCUCUAACAAAAUUAGAAAAUUAAUAUGACCUUUGACCCAGCAAUUUCAGUUCCUAGGAAUUUAUUCUACAGAUAUGCCUAAAAUGCACAUAAGGAUGUGUGCAAAAGCGUAAUGAUUGCCGCAUUGUUGACAAGAGCAAAAACUGAAAACAACUAAUAUCCGUAAUGCGGGGCUGGUUAAAAAUUUAUGGCAUAUCAUCUCAACGGAAUGCUCCAAAGCUAGAAGGAAAUUCAGAGCCGUGUGUGCCGAGAUAGAAAGAUUACCAAGGUAUAUGGCCAAGUGCAAAAACCAAGACAUAGAAUAAUAUGAUUUAUAUGCCCUCAUUUAUAUAAAAAGAGGAGAUCAAUGGAUGUGUGUACAGGACAAUGUCUGGAAGGUACACAGGGAAUUGUUGAGGAGCGGGAUUAGGAGUCUGGGUUGGAAGGGGGUUUGUUUUUCAUUUUAAACUGCCCUAUUAUUUGAAUUUUUUUAAAAUCAAGGACCGUGUUAUUUUUAUAAAAUAAAGGAAGUCAUCACUAUGCUAUGAAAUAGGGCCUUUAGCAAUGUUUAUUACUUACUGACUUAUAUGGGUGUUGUAUCACAGACGGUGUCAUAUUCCCUUUUGAAUAUUCUCAGAGUCCAUUCUAGAGAGAGCCUUUCACACAGGAGAAACAAGGUGUGAACAAAGGAGCAAAUGAAACUAUGAAUUUAUUGACAGCCCGUGCGAGAUAUGCAAGUUGGCAGAAUCUACUGAUAAUCUCAAACCACCUUCUUCAGUGGUCCAGAUAAUGACCUAUUUUGCUGACCCGAAGUCAGAGCUACUACUCAUAAAGGCUUUGAAAAAACAUCAAUGAACAUUCGCUUUUGGGUGGGGCUAAGCCAUCAUUCUAGAAGAAAAAACGAUCUCUUGUCUUGUGUGAACCGCAACGGUAUUUUGGAAAUCACGGAACACUGGGCUGGGAAGCAAGUCUGAGUUCCGUAAUAAAUACUAACUAGCAUACAACCUGAAGUGAGUUACUGUUCCUGUUCCGGCUUCAUCUGUGACACGGUGACUGAUGGCUAAG
rnacentral:lncRNA from 1 species